rnacentral:tRNA from 1 species
UGCCGGGUCGUCUAAUGGUAGGACUGCAGACUCUGGAUCUGCCUAUCUUGGUUCGAGUCCAAGCCCGGCAG